rnacentral:rRNA from 1 species
GAUGAACGCUGGCGGCGUGCUUAACACAUGCAAGUCGAACGAUGAAGCCCAGCUUGCUGGGUGGAUUAGUGGCGAACGGGUGAGUAACACGUGAGUAACCUGCCCUUAACUCUGGGAUAAGCCUGGGAAACUGGGUCUAAUACCUGAUAGGAGCGUCCACCGCAUGGUGGGUGUUGGAAAGAUUUAUCGGUUUUGGAUGGACUCGCGGCCUAUCAGCUUGUUGGUGAGGUAAUGGCUCACCAAGGCGACGACGGGUAGCCGGCCUGAGAGGGUGACCGGCCACACUGGGACUGAGACACGGCACAGACUCCUACGGGAGGCAGCAGUGGGGAAUAUUGCACAAUGGGCGCGAGCCUGAUGCAGCGCCGCCGCGUGAGGGAUGACGGCCUUCGGGUUGAAAACCUCUUUCAGUAGGGAAGAAGCGAAAGUGACGGUACCUGCAGAAGAAGCACCGGCUAACUACG